CUUAGCAACAAGUUCUGCUCCACAAGAGACACUUCAGCUUCACUCCAGACACCGCCGCUCAUUACCCGCUGCUGCAUCCUUCAAAACAGGAAGUGUUGCCAGAGCAUUCAUUUAUCUCUUAAUUGCCGUUCUUUUGUUGCCAUGAGAAAUGUUUAGUUAUAGAUUUCAUGCCCCCCUACCCCUGCCACCCCAGAUCAACCACCGCUGAUUGCAAACACGAUGAAGAAAUUUGAGUUUAGCGUAUUUAUUUCUUAGACAACGGAGCACUUAUGGAAGAAAGAGUGGAUAAGAGCUGACGGAACAAAUGCUGGAGGAGAAAAAUGCCCAUCAAACAAGCAGCAGAUAUGUGGAGAAAAUGGAACUGUUUAAUCUUGGAGCCUGUUGGAGAUGGAAACCACAGAGAUUAUGGUUAAAAUAUUACCUCCUUAAUAGAAUUUACUGAAGAGAAUUA